CAUCUGAUCAAUAAAAGGCAAAGGAAAGUGAUCCUUCCGGGCGGCCUUGUUAAGCUUGCGAUAAUCUGUACACAUGCGCCAACCGGUGACAGUCCUACUGGGAAUCAUUUGACCCCGAAGCCCCGGUGAACGGCGGUCGUAACUAUAACGGUUCUAAGGUAGCGAAAUUCCUUGUCGGGUAAGUUCCGACCCGCACGAAAGGCG
rnacentral:ncRNA from 1 species